rnacentral:rRNA from 1 species
CCUACGGGAGGCAGCAGUGGGGGAUAUUGCACAAUGGGGGGAACCCUGAUGCAGCGACGCCGCGUGGGUGAAGAAGCACCUCGGCGCGUAAAGCCCUGUCAGCAGGGAAGAAAAUGACGGUACCUGAAGAAGAAGCCCCGGCUAACUACGUGCCAGCAGCCGCGGUAAUACGUAGGGGGCAAGCGUUAUCCGGAUUUACUGGGUGUAAAGGGAGUGUAGGCGGCCUUGUAAGUUAGAUGUGAAAUCCUACGGCUUAACCGUAGAACUGCAUCUAAAACUGUGAGGCUGGAGUGCAGGAGAGGUGAGUGGAAUUCCUAGUGUAGCGGUGGAAUGCGUAGAUAUUAGGAGGAACACCAGAGGCGAAGGCGACUCACUGGACUGUAACUGACGCUGAGGCUCGAAAGCGUGGGGAGCAAACAGGAUUAGAUACCCGAGUAGUC